CCUACGCGUGGCAGCAGUGGGGAAUAUUGGGCAAUGGAGGAAACUCUGACCCAGCAACGCCGCGUGAAUGAUGAAGGUCUUCGGAUUGUAAAGUUCUUUUCUCAGGAAAGAAGAAAGUGACGGUACCUUCGGAAUAAGCCUCGGCUAACUACGUGCCAGCGGCUCCGGUCAUACGUAGGGGGCGGACGUUAACCGGGAUGACUGGGCGUAAAGGGGGCGUAGGUGGUUUGGCGAGGUAGGAGCGUACUUCCAAGCCUCGACCUUUGAACUACUACUAAAACUGUGGGGCUUGAGUGCAGGAGGGGCAACCGGAAUGCCUGGGGUAGCGGUGGAAUGCGUAGAUAUUAGGAGGAACACCAGUGGCGAAGGCGGGUUGCUAGACUGUAACUGACACUGAGGCACGAAAGCGUGGGGAGCAAACAGGAUUAGAUACCCCUGUAGUC
rnacentral:rRNA from 1 species